ensembl:lncRNA
UGAACUUAGAGCUACGAGGACUUGGAUUGUCUCCCUCAGGGCAUCUGAACAGUCUUCCUGACUGGGGAGACUUUCCCCAAACAAGGUUCUCGCUCUGGAACCGUGCAUCCUUCUCCUGCUGGCCACAGGAUGAAUCCUGACCUAAAGGACCCUGUCCCUCCUGCGGGUUUCCAAGAGCUUACCUUUCUUCGUCUGGGCAGGUCGGAUCCCCGGCGCAGUACGGUGACCGGUCGGGGGCGGGCUGAGCGCUGCUGGUGAGUCUCUGCCCCCGGAAACCCACAGCAGCGAAUCCAGGGCCCGGAAGGUCCCCGGGUUGGGCAGGGCAGGGCCCGGAGCCCCUACAGCCUCUGCACAAUCGCGCAUUUUCCACAAUUUCUGGAGGCGGGGACAGUCCGGACCGGCAGAAAAAGAAGGGCUCUUGCACUUUCCUGCCCGGGCUGGUUCUUAGGUCCCAAGAAAGGAAGAAGCCCGCAGGAGAACCAGAUGGCAGAUCUCGCUGAGGCCUGAGCUGCCUCAGACACGUGUCCCUGGAGCAUACAAAGCAAGCCCUUCUCUGCCAGGGCCAAGGGCGCCGCCACUCAGGCGCCCAGGACAGCGCAGGGUGGCCGGAUUCCCUCACAGCUCGGCGAGUUCAGGUCCACACGGCGGAGCGGAGCGACCCGCCUCUGAAGAAAGGGCCAGGUUUGCCGAAUUAUCCAGCCGCUGUGGGGACCAUGCAGUCAGGACCGCACCAGCCUGGCCUACAGAGUCGCAGUCCGAGCUGGAUGGAGGCUCGAGUUUCCCGACUGGUCGGAUCAAAGCAGGCGGACGCAGGCUGCAUUUUCUUUCCGGCCAACCCGCCCCUCGACACCCCAGAGGACUAGAUUUAGGGAGCCGCGGUGCAAGAUGUCCCUUCCCCCCAGGAACCUGUUUAUUUGCUGAAUUGAGGAUCCCUGGGGCUGGGCUUCAAAAUAAGAGCGCGUUUCUCACCCUUUUCGCAAUUCUGGCGAAUUCCAACCUGCCUCGGGAGUGUCCCCUGCUGCUGGGCCCCGACAGUCCCUGUGGCUGGCGGGGUGGGGGUGGGUGGACGCUUUGGAGUCGCUCACUAACCGUCCCUGCAGAGCUUUCCGCGGAGAUUUCGGCCUGGACGCCGGCUUCAGGCGGCCCGCCCGCAGGAAACAGAGCUUUCCCCACGCCCUCAGCUGUCUCCGGCGCACCGCGGGGCAGCUCCAAGCAGGUGCCCGUUUGCAAGUUUGCACGCGGCGCGGGGCCUCACUGAAGUCCUGGGAACUCCUGUGAACUGGCGGUGACACCCGUGACAAGCGAGGAAGCUGGACUGCUAUGUGGAAGGGACAGCCUCAUUCCUGGGUAGAAGGCUCAGGAGUUGCAGGGGGGGGCCUCCCCUGAACUGCUCCGUUUGUGCAACCGAAGGCCCCAGGCCUUCCAAUGGUCGACCCCUCAUCGAGAAACAUCCCUUAAGCACCACCGCCCCCUCACUUCUCUGCGCUGGAAGCCUCUCCCAUGCGGAUUAGGCGGGCAGAUGUCGCACCAGCGCUGUAAACCCAAUGCGAGGCGCUUUCGCGAUCCAGCGCCCCUGCGCGCAGCGCAAGGUUGGCACCUCACUGCCCCCGAGCACAGGAGUUGAGGGCGCAGAGUCGACUUGGGGUUUCUGUGGGGUUAACAAACCGUCCUCUCCCUCUCCUCCUGCCCAACUCGCUACAGAAUCCUCCCCAGGGCAGUAACCAUGCAGUCCCUGCCCUGACCAGAAAGCGCCCAAUUUCUGGCCUGAAAUGGGAAAGGGAGAGAAGUCAAAGCCUAUGCAUAUGAGAUGGGUUCAAGGGUACAACCGUCUUGAGCUCGCGGGACUGGCUCCUGAAAAAGUGUGCCAACCCAGGGAAGCUGGUUUUCCCUUGACGGCAAGUGAACCAAUCAGAGGACGCCGCGAAGGUCCUUACGUGUUUUUUCUACGAACCUGUGGGACUUGCCUCCCAGUCCGUGUGCCGUAAGGCGUGGCCAUGUGGCCACCUGGGAACAGGUCGACAUAAAACCCCUGCCAAUGCUCUGACCUUCAGGCUGCACCCUCCUAUCCACCCCAACACGCUUCUCCAUCCUCCAGCCCAGAGCAGGCUCCCCCAGCUACAGGCUUUACACAGAGCAGAUGGAAAAGGAGAGGAAAGAUUCUCCUUUCUGGUUCUCUUGUCCUUUGUCUAAUAAAGUGUGAU